rnacentral:rRNA from 1 species
CCUACGGGUGGCAGCAGUGAGGAAUAUUGGUCAAUGGCCGGAAGGCUGAACCAGCCAUGCCGCGUGAAGGUCAGUGCCCUAUGGGCGUUAAACUUCUUUUUUUCGGGGGCUAUAAUGGCCACGUGUGGCCACACUAGAGUACCGUACGAAUAAGCAUCGGCUAACUCCGUGCCAGCAGCCGGGGUAAUACGGGGGAUGCAAGCGUUAUCCGGAUUUUUUGGGUUUAAAGGGUGCGUAGGCUGUGAGGUAAGUCAGCGGUGAAAUGCCCCCGCUCAACGGGGUGAAGUGCCAUUGAUACUGCCUUGCUGGAAUGCGGAUGCCGUGGGAGGAAUGUGUGGUGUAGCGGUGAAAUGCAUAGAGAUGACACAGAACACCGAUUGCGAAGGCAUCUCACGAAUCCGCGAUUGACGCUGAUGCACGAAAGCGUGGGUAUCAAACAGGAUUAGAUACCCGGGUAGUC